UGGGCUUGGAGUGGGUUGGGGGCAAGAAUUACAUCCUUCCAGAUGAAUAGAGGGAGAGCAUUCUUGCAAGGACUGGGAGCUGGGGAAUGGGUCAGAACCCAAGUGUUUCACGAUCUCUUGCUUCAUCCAUUAACAUCAUUGGUGGAAAAGCACACAAACCAAACAGGAGGAGAAUCCAGUCAUCACCAUUUCUCACUCAUUUCUGGCUCUCCUUUAUAUGAUUACUAAACAAAAGCAUACACUUCCCCACAUCAGAGCAGGUAAAACUGUCAGUUUCCAGCAGGGAUACUGAAACUAGCAGGCCAUAAAGCUAGGUAUCCUGGCUGGGCAUCAUGGUACGUGUCUGUAGUCCCAGCUACUCAGGAGGCUGAGGUGGGAGGAUCACUUGAGCCCAGGAGUCUGAGGUUAUAGUGAGCCAUGAUCACACCACUGCACCCCAGCCUGGGCAACAGAGUGAGACUCUGUCUCUUAAAAACAAAAACAAACAGGAAAACCAAACAAACAGGAAAACCUCACUAAACAAAAAACCUAGGUAUCCUUUGUCUCCCUGAGGCUAUUCUCACUGGCACAGUCAGUCCUGUUCCUUUAGUCUGUGCUAAAAUCAGAAGAAAAUCUAGCUGAUAGUCCUUGUUACACAGGGACAGCCAGGACCUCAGGGCUGGAACACAGAUUUUUCAAUUAAUUAUUAGGAGGUGCAGCAGUGGGGAGCACUUCCUCAAAUGUAGAGAAGCAUGUGCAGGAGUACGUAUUAGAGACAGGACAAGCAGAUUCCAUAAUUCUACAUUUGGCCUGCAGGUAGCAACAUCUCUCUAGCAAUGACCACACCACAUACUUAAAUAGAUACUGCAGGAAAUGCAUUUAAUUGGCCAAGGAAUAAGAGUUUUGUUUUUAAAAAUUAAAAAAAUUACAUCAACAUAUCUCCACUAAGUAAUUUCCACUCCUACGUAUUUUGAUAUAGAGAUGUUGCUAUUUUUCUAUUUACAGUGCUAGGUACAUAGUGAGCUUUUAACGAAUAAACACUUAUGGAUUGUUCAGUUGGCUGAAGAUAAUUCAGACUUGCCUGAGGCAUGGAAAAUACAGGGUGAGAAUAGGAGGAAGUAUCGAUUGGUAAAUGUGCAUGGAAAAGCACUGCUACAGUUUGAAUGUUUGUUCCCUCCCAAACUCACACUGAAAUUUAAUUACUAUCCCAGUAGUUUGCAGGAUUAAAAAAAGAAAUUUGAUUGCCAUUGUAACAAUAUUAAGAGGUGGGACCUUUUUUUUUUUUCUGAGACAGAGUUUCACUCAUGUUGCCCAGGCUGGAGUACAAUAGCACAAUCUCGGCUCACUGCAACCUCCACCUCCCAGGUUCAAGUGAUUCUCCUGUCUCAGCCUCCUGAGUAGCUGGGACUAUAGGCACCCACCACCACGCCCAGCUAAUUUUUGUAUUUUUAGUACAGGUGGGGUUUCGCCAUAUUGGCCAGGCUGGUCUCAAACUCCUGACCUCAGGUGAUCCGCAAGAGGUGGAACAUUUAAGAGGUGAUUUGGCCAUGAAGACUCUCCCUUAUGAAAGGAUUAAUGUCAUUAUCGAGGGGGUGGGUUUGUUAUAAAAGAAUAAGUUUGGCCCCUCUUGCUCUCUCACCCUCUCUUUGCCUGUCAACCAUGGGAUGAUGCAACAAGAAGGUCCUUGCCAGAUGCCAGCACCUUGAUAUUGGACGUCUUAGCCACCAUAUCUGUGAGCCAGUACAUUUCUGUUCCUUAUAAAUUACCCAGUCUCAGGUAUUCUGUUACAGCAGUACAAAGCAAACGAAGACUAGCACUUUCCUGUCUGGUUAAUAGCUCGCCCAAGAAAAACAAAUGCAUCUGAAAAUUAUGAAAGAUCUCUCUAAAAGCAAGCCAUGAUUAAUUCUUUUAAAAAAAAGGAAACAGUAAUCUUGGUUUUAUAAAUAUUCCCCUUCAAUUCAAAGUUCAUCCUUCAUACGUGUUAGAGAAACAAGUUCCAGGUUUAUGCAUGUUAUACACGUUUAAAGUUUUACAUUUAGGCUCAGCCCUGUCAAAUGCAUUUAUUCCAAACUGACUCAGCCCUCUCCCCAGCUAGAUUCUGCAGAGACUGUAUGAAGCCACCAAAGUCCACCCAUCACUGAAAGGAACCACUGAGAUUAGUUUUGGCAGGAAGCACUGAGCAAAGAGCAGGGCAGCCCGGCCUGGGCUCGGCCAGCCUAGCAGCAGAUGUGCAUGUGUUCUUAGAGGCAACAAUGCUCCUCUUCCCACAGAAUAGGUUGUGGGCUCCCAGGUUCUUGCACUUUUUGCUGGGACUUGCCCCGAAGCCAUCUGUUUAUCUCUCAGAACUUCUUGGUUUUCCAAGCAGCAAAGAAUGAGCACCUUUAAUGUCAACAGUGUCCAAGAGCACCCUGAUCCCAGGUGGACCCCUUUUCUGGAGGCCAAUAGCCUCAGGUAGCUUUGGAGGGUGGGCCUGCAGGGAGAGGGUCUGGGCAGUCUGUCUGUCCAUGAGUGAGAGACAGACACACCCUUCAGCCCCCUGGAGGGUGGUGGUCUUCCACAGAAGCUGCAGAUUGGCGUUUCAGCUUCACUCCCAAUGACACUGAGCCAACCAAUGACUACUGGCCUCAUCACAGGAACACUGCCUCCCUGCGCAACCAGAAGUACAUAAUGCAGGAACCAGAGUGACUUUCCUUCACUCCUGAGCUUGUUUUCCUUGUGUUUGUUUGAGACAGGGUCUUGCUCUGUUACCCUGGCUGGAGUGCAGUGGCACAAUCUCAGCUCACUGCAGCCUCAACCUCCCAGGCUCAAUCAAUCCCCUCAUUUCAGUCUCCCAAGUAGCUGGGACUACAGGCAUGCACCACCAUGCCCAGCUAUUUAUUUUAUUUUUUUUAUUUUUUGUAGAGACAGGGUUUUGCCGUAUUGGCCAGGCUGGUCUCAAACUCCUGACUUCAAGUAAUCCUCCCGCCUCGGCCUCUCAAAGUGCUGGGAUUACAGGCAUGAGCCACUGUGCCCAGCCCACUCCUGAGCUUGUUACGUGUCCUCUGGGGGAGCCCCCAGCAUCACUGCUGGCCCCAGCUCCCAGCCAGGGCCCUAGGUACACAGGCAGGAGGGACUGGUGCCAUCAUUCUACCCUUGCAGGGUGCCAAGGCUGUGAGUGAGCUCACCAGAGGAGGAGGGGAAUCAGUGGGUGGCCCCACAGCCAGGGCCUGAGCUCAGGAAAAGCGGCACUGUGGCGGGUGUGUGGUAUGUCAGGAGCCCAGAAGCUGCUGUCCUAGGCCCCUUUCCUCCUGCACAGCAUGAUGUGGUGUAAAUGAGGGGUCUCAGCUGAGGGACAUUUUGCUGAGUGUCAGAAGCAAAGGGAGGGUUAGGAAACCCUGGGGAAAAGGGAAUGUCAAGGUAGGGAGGCAAGGCCUUUCUACAUGAGGACCACGGGCAGGGCAGCAGAGUCCCAGAGAGGUCCAGUGGGCACCAGGGAGGGCUGCCAUCUUCCUCAGUGGGGCAGACCCUGCCUGAUGGCACAGUGGUAGACAGCACCUCCCCACCCCACUCCCUAACCGACACAAAUCUCCACAUACAACCAGGUCCUGUCCUCACCUCACCAUGACAACCAGCACCCAGCUCAGGCCUGCAUGGCCCUGGUGUGGACCCAAAGGUGGGGUGUGGGGUGAGGAUGAGGAAGGCAGCGUCCAUGUCCUUUGAGGGCAAGGCUGGCCCCCAAGUGGAGCUCCGGCCCAGAGGAGACAUAGGCUCCAGACCAGAGAGGCCAGGAGCUGGUAGAGUGAGGCC
rnacentral:lncRNA from 1 species